AUACGUAGGGUGCGAGCGUUGUCCGGAAUUAUUGGGCGUAAAGAGCUCGUAGGCGGUUUGUCGCGUCUGCUGUGAAAACCUGGGGCUUAACCCCGGGCCUGCAGUGGGUACGGGCAGACUAGAGUGCGGUAGGGGAGACUGGAACUCCUGGUGUAGCGGUGAAAUGCGCAGAUAUCAGGAAGAACACCGGUGGCGAAGGCGGGUCUCUGGACGGUGACUGACGCUGAGACGCGAAAGCGUGGGGAGC
rnacentral:rRNA from 1 species